rnacentral:lncRNA from 1 species
AUGGCGAGAAAACGGUCAGUAAUGGAGACGCUGCUCCGUAGUCGCCCACUUCUCUUUCGCCAGGCGCGCACUGGGCAGCUGAGCGCUUGUGACGUCCCAAUGGGGCUGGUGACAGAACCAGGGCGUGCAGAAGCGCGCGGGAGCACCCCCGUCCUAGGGCGCCUACCAGAGGGGUCAAAGGGCAAAACGGAGAGCCCCACCCCCACCACUCCCGCCCCCGCAGGACCCAGCAGGACUCUCUCACACCUGGGGACAUCCUGCUCCUGGGGACAGAUCUUAUGCCCAAGAGAAGGACAUACUCUUGGGUGUCUGGACAAGGAGAACAUGCAUGAAAAAUCAACAAUUCUUCUUACCCAUCAGGAUGCGCAUUGA